UACGGGGGGGGCAAGCGUUGUUCGGAAUUACUGGGCGUAAAGGGCUCGUAGGUGGCCAACUAAGUCAGACGUGAAAUCCCUCAGCUUAACUGGGGAACUGCGUCUGAUACUGGAUGGCUUGAGAUUGGGAGAGGGACGCGGAAUUCCAGGUGUAGCGGUGAAAUGCGUAGAUAUCUGGAGGAACACCGGUGGCGAAGGCGGCGUCCUGGACCAACACUGACACUGAUGAGCGAAAGCCAGGGGAGCAAACGGG
rnacentral:rRNA from 1 species